AUGAGUAAAGCUACAAAGAACAUGCCAGUUGAAGACAUUCCCUCGACUGUAUUUUCCAGUUUUUUAUGCAUCCAAGGAUUCAGAGAAAGCAUCUCCUACUGGCAAGACACAUUAGCUAAGCACACCAGAAACUUCUCCAUGAAAGAAGAAUCCCAUGAUAGGUCUUCUGAUCCACCAGAGAUCAGAUAUAAAGGCUCUCAGCUGGAGUUUUACCAACUGCCAGCUGCUGUCAUUACACACAGGCCAUAAUGGGAACCUCCUGCUAUCUGUAUGUUCUGGGUAAUGGCUAAGCCUGGUACAGUUAUGUCUCCCCAGACUUGCCAGCUCUAUGUCCUCACAUCCCCGCAGUGUUCAGGGAAAAUUCAGUUACUCAGGAACAACAAUGUACUGUUAUAAAUACAUUGAUUUAUCUAGCUGGGCCUUGAAGCAGUAUUACUGAAUGUAACUGCUCCAUGUGAGCAAAUAAAAUCUGCUGUAAUUGUGCUGGCCUGUAUUAUGAACUCUUCUUAGCUUAAGACCAUGAUUUCAGCCACAUAACUAGAUUAAGAGUUGGAAUGGCAAGAGUCACAUUUAGGAUAAGACAAGGGUUUAAGGUUCAGGUUGACAAGGUCUAUGAUGUAGGGUUAAGGGUGGAUGUAGAAGGCUCCACUGAGGUAAUGUUGGGGCUUGUGCCAAUAUGACAUCCCUAUCUAAUUUUAGGUUUUCAUCUUACAGAAUUUUGCAUGUCAAGAUUAAUUCUAAGAUUUUUGUCGGGAAAAAGGUUAGGCCAGCAGGGGCUGAUGAAGAAAGAUCAGUACUGGACUGAGAAGAAGCCCAUGCUAAAUUUAGGGCUGAUGCCAAGAGAAGCAUUAAUCCAACAUGAGUGCAAAUCCUUCCUUAACUUUAAUGCAGUGGGCCCUUCCAGCCUCAUAAAAACCAAAGAGGCCACAACCGUGAUCAAACCUUGAAACUCUUGCCAGAUCCAGAACUAAACAAAACUCAUUGACCUUGCUUGCCUGUGCCCUCUUCCAUCACCUAAACCUUAAGCCCAAAUCUCUUCCAGCAGACCUAGCCACCCCCAGCCAUUCCCAGACCCAAACCUGGGUCAGGUUGUCAGUCUGGGUGGCAAAUUUAACUCCAGGACAUGUUUUUGUCCCAUCAUGAAUUAUAACCACCCUUGAGAUCUAAAAAAACACUUUAAGUUAGUCUUAAAUUUAAUCUUACUGGUUCCUGCCAGCCCCAGAUCCCAAUGUUAAGCUGGGCUGAUGUAACAGACUUUGCAUGAUGUCUGGAAGGAGUUGAUAAACUGGUUUAGGAUUGGUGUUAAAAUUACAGUUUUGGGCAGCAAAGACCAAGGACUUCAGUUUGUGGCUGUCUCCAGCAGAAAUCUGACAGGCAUCAACAUGGACCACAUCACUAAUUUCAGAUCUGGGGCUGGAAAAGGUCAUUAGAUUCCCGUAGGCUGAAGAGUCUACAACCGUUGGAGUAUUUCCUCUUCCAAAAUCGGGCAACAAGCCCAGCAGUCAUGAGUCUAUAUGUUUCAGGCCAUGAACAUUAAAGGCCUCUUCUGUGGUAUUUGGUAUACACUCAUGUAAAUAACUUCACGGUGAGACAACCUAAGAAUAAAAUCUAAGUGACAGAAUACUUUUCUUCCUUUUAAUAAUCACAAUAUUAUUUUUAAAAUUACUUAGAAAAAUACAAAGGUUAUGAAGUCCAGAUCUCAAAAGCUGGGAAACAUAAAUGAAACUUAAUUAAUUAAAUUAAUUAAGUGCAUGCAUGCAAGUGCAUUGCAAUUCAGCCUUUAAUUGCAUGACAACAUAGUGGUUUUGCUUGUGUUAUUGAAUGCACUGGGUGAGUAUCCCUCCUCACUGUGAGAAGAAAUGUACCAGGGCUGGGUAGUUAAUAGUGGUAUAAUUAGUAGGUUCCUUAACUUAGAAACUGAAAAAAACAUAAAAAGUCUAGAGAAUAGGGAAAACUAUUCCAGAAAGGAAAAAUAAAAACAUCACAAUUAAAGACAAUCGAGAAUUUGGACAUGCAAAAUACUGUGCUGGUGCUAAAAAAAUAUUUUUAAAUGUUUCAAAUCAUUAAACCAAAAUGAGGGUCAUCUGACAAUAUCUCUAGAUUAGAAAGCUUAGCUGUAGGUCAAAAAUAGGAACACUACUUGCAUUCACAACAGUGUUAUGAAGAAAAUCUGGUUAAUCCAGAUUAAUUCAGAUGUCAUGAAGACAGAAGCACAAGAGUGCCUGCAAAGAAAUACAUCACUAUUGAGCUGGAUAUAUUAAAAAAGCAUUUGCAAGGGGAAUAUUGGAAGACAUACUGACAAUGUACAUGCUCUCAUCUUACAGGGGAAAAUAGCACGUAAGGAUUUUUAAAACCCACCUAUGUACCUUUGUGCAUAUGUUCUGAUAUUUAAAAAAAAAAAAAAAAAAAAAAAAAAGGCAUAAAAUUGUUCCAGGAAACAUGUCAAGAAUAUAAAAAAACUAGAUGUCAAAGUUAGCAACCAGUCACUCAAGCUCAACCAGAAAAAAAUCAGAAGUAAAAAUAAAGCAUUGAGACUGUCUACAUGCUUAAAAUAAGACAGGCUCAGUUUUCUGUCCUGAAUUUGGACCUGAAUGAGGACUCAGUGGAAAUAACAGAAGCUAUUGCACAUUUUUACACCGUAGUGACAUCAGUACAUAUGCUGGUGAGACGCUUCAGUGCCCAGCACUUAUAGCUUGGUGAGCCUCACUUAACCCGCUGGCCCAGGUCAAUACACGCAUAAAAUCAUGAGGACUCUUGGUCAUGAUCCAUUCCAAAGUAAUUUUCUUUGCAAAAAGAUUAAAUAGGCACUUCAGUCAUUCACAUGAAUGUAAUUCAUCAGUAAUACCUAUGAGAACAAGACCAGAAGCUAAUAUGUCUGAUUUAAAUUAGUUUUAACUUCUCUGCUUUGUUGUGAGGACAAUAAUACAUUCUUUGUCCCUACUCUUGAAAGGGGUUGUUGUAAGGACUAAUUAAUGUGUGCUAUAUAAUUCUGCUAAGACUGAGAAAAUUGCUUAAUAAAACCAAAUUCCUGAGGGGUUUAUGACUAUAAUUUGCUCACUCAGAACUUCCAUUAAAUAAUAACAAAAAGCUACAGAAUGUGCUGGAUGUUAAACCAGGGUUUAAGGAAGGACAGGGUCUAAGUAUGGCAUUGAGCAUGGACAGUAGUUGUGAAAAGUGUAGGGAGGGAUGGCUUUCCAGCUGCGCCCAGAAAUUAGAGCUGUAUUAGGAAUUUUUCUUUCUGUUUUUUACAAAGCAAAACAAACUGCUAAUUCCAUAAAUAUUAAAUGUAUUGGUGAGAAAAAACAUACUUUAUAUGUUUAGUUACUGUGAUGAAAUAUGUUCUAGACAUAGACAGAUUCUUCAUCCUUCCAGUCUACUGUAAGGAUGAGCAUUGCAUACAAUCCAUGGAAAAUUCUUGACUAUAAAUCUCACAGAGGCGGCUCCAUAGCCUCAUAUACAAAAUGCUCUUGCUAUUCUGACAUGUGAGAGCAUUCUCAGGCAAAAAGCAAUAGAAAGUUACUACAGGGAAAACUUGCUAAAUUUUGCCCCUGGAGUAAGUAGAGUUGCUUUAGUCCUGCCUAAUACACAGAUAGUUCUGACUCAGAAAACUGGAAAUAACUUUUCAGCAGCCAUCCCACCCCGAUACGUUCAAGCAGAAGGCAUAAAGCAUAAGGUUCUUGAACUCUGCUUCACAACACAUGGAAUUGGCUCUAAAUUGAAAAAUCAACAUGGAUGACAACCAAACCCUGUAAUUCUUUAGUAGUAGUAUUAGCAUUAAUGUAGUGAAUCCCAAGAAAUUUAUAAAUUUAUAUUAUUUAUAAAUUUAGACAUCAUUAUUCUAGAUGUUAUACAAUCAAAAAUAAUGGUUCCUGUGUCAAAGAGUUUCAUGUGCAAGUGUAACUUGAAACACAGCAGAAUGAUAGAGGAAAUAUAAGAAAAUAAAUAGGUAAUUGGUAUAACAGCAUUAUCAUCUCAUGGUAUUGACUGGUCUGCUCCUGGGGGGAGGCAGCACAGAAAAGGAAUGUUAAUGACAGACCAGCAGGAAAAUGAUGAUGUAUCUUGGUAAGCAAUUAUGAGAUGCAGAAAGGGUGGACUAGAAAAAUGCCACUGAGAAAUCUAAUGAGUAGGCAAAGGAGGCAUCAAAGGUCAGUUGAAAACAACAGUCAGUUAUUCAUUUUUCCCUGCCUUUAACUUAUUAUGUGACUUCAGACAAAGCACACUGGUCAGGAUUUCCAGAAGCAGCUUCAGUGACUCAGUUUUUUAGAUGUCUAGUUAGAAGCCUUUAGAAGCACCUGGCUUUCAGAAAGCACAUAACUCACUUGUUUAGAAAAAUCAGGUCUCUUUAUGUGGUUUAUGUUGGACACCAGCACUCACCUAUUCACCCCAAAACUCAAACCGCUUCUGACAUUGUUGGCGUGUAUAACACUUGACUUUUCUUACCCUUAAAAAGGAAACAAAAAUGAUUACUUGAGUUGGGUGUUUCACUGCACUAGUUCCCGAAUGCAUGUGUGAAGCAAUGGACGAAAGGCAACCCAAAAGCGAAUAGUUAUGAAUGUGUAUUAAUCAGUGAUUGCAAAAAGCUGGUAUAUACCUUUAAACAGUGGGAAAGGUAAUUAGUAUGGUAAGACUACACCAGAUAUAUAGAUACAUAGGCAAAUAAGGCUACUGCCAGCUAGAAUAUUAGGGAGAAACAAAGCGAGUCCAAAAAUCACACGUAGUAAACUUUCUAGCUGUAUCUGAGAUUUUGAAUCUGUUUAUCCCAUAAAACAAAACAUAUUAUUUCCCAGGGAAUCAGAAAUGAAUAGAGCUGCAAUUCUCCAGUCACAUCAGGAAACCAAUAUAGGUGAAAGAAGAUGUAGGUUUUAUAGAUCAUUCUAUCAUAGGGAGCCAGUGCUGUGUGAACAUCAAAGAAGCUAUUUUCCAUGCUAUUUCUCUAUCCUGCUUUUAAACUAAAUUCUAGAGAAGAUUGCUGCACAUUAGUUAUGUUUCUCACAUGAGUAAUAAUGGACUAAUCAUGCAAAUUUACAACAUUACCAAAGCAAUCACAGCUAAAUUAAAAGCAGUCUGUUUUAUUAAUGACUAUGACUCAGAAUAAUUCCUCCAUCUCUUCUGCUGUGAAAGAAGCUUACAGAGUCCAACAACCGAGCAUCCUGUAAUCUGUCCAUGAACUGAUAAAUCCUCAGACCUCAAAGGUGCUGCUGCUGCUAUGCCCACAUGAUGGGGAGACCCAUCCCACCACUCAGACCUCUGACUCAGGAAGGACCUGCCAUCCUGAAUAACUGAAUGGAUGAUAUCUAGCAGAGCAUCUCCCAUCACAUUGCAGAUCUCAUUACAUACAAGAGAGUACUGCUACCCCAAAGAUCUCCUGUGAUGUGACUUGGUGCUUUGCAUUACAUGAACAGGCAACUCUCAAGGCUGGAAGAAUUGUUUCACUUUGUUGAACUCCACAUGGUAUUUUGCUACCACAUUUUACAAGAUUUAUAAAACACGCAUUUUCAUUUCAAUAAACACUUGUACUUCUUCAAUG